rnacentral:rRNA from 1 species
GAUGAACGCUGGCGGCGUGCUUAACACAUGCAAGUCGAACGAAGCAUUUGCGACAGAUUUGUUCGGAAUGAAGUUGCUUAUGACUGAGUGGCGGACGGGUGAGUAACGCGUGGGUAACCUGCCUUGUACUGGGGGAUAGCAGCUGGAAACGGCUGGUAAUACCGCAUAAGCGCACAAUGUUGCAUGACGUGGUGUGGAAAACUCCGGUGGUAUAAGAUGGACGCGCGUCUGAUUAGCUAGUUGGUGAGAUAACAGCACACCAAGGCGACGAUCAGUAGCCGAGAGGAGAGGGGGACCGGCUACAUUUGGACUGAGACACGGCCCCGACUCCUACGGGAGGCAGCAGUGGGGAAUAUUGCACGAUGGAGGAAGCUCUGAUGCAGCGACGUGGGGUGAGUGAAGAAGUAAUUCGUUAUGUAAAGCUGUAUCAGCAGGGAAGAUAGUGACGGUACCUGACUAAGAAGCACCGGCUAACUACGUG